GUGGGGAGGCCCUGAACUGGGUGGGCACUGAGAGAAGUUAAAGCAUUGUCAAUGGAGUCUCUUUGCUUGCGGCUGAAAGGCAGUGCUGCGAGCAGCAAGCGAGGUGGCCUCGGGGUCAAGGCUGAGAAGUGGAAGUGAGAAGACUGAGGAGGAGAGGAAAAACCUGGGGGACACCCACAUUCCUGCAGCACCUUCUGCACCCUGCAGAGGGGGGCCGGCUUGGAUCUGUCCAUUGCGCUGAAUGCCUUGGUGAUCUCCUCAUAAUGUUCCAUGAGUUUCUCCCUGGAAGAGAAGCCACCUCAGACAUGUCAGUCCAGGAGAAAAGCGACUCAUGAUGCCCACUCUACUGUGACAACCUGGCCGCUCAGCCAAGAGCUAUCUGGAAGGGUAAACAUGUGCACGGAGUAAAUGGGGGUCUGGAGCAGAGAUCGACGCGUCCUGCCAAACGGAGCUGCUGUUGGCCCACACGGGGCGCCAUCCUGGGGGUCCUGCCCUCUUCUGGCUCUGGCUGGUGAAGCCGAGGAGGACAGAGCCGUGACCGGUAGUCACCUAGUCCUGUCUACUUCCUCCUCUGCUGUGCCCACCUGCUCCCUCCCGCAAGCCUCCCCUCGUGGGCCUGCGCCAGGUGGCUGGCUGCUAGCUGGCUUUUCUCGCCCUCAGUCUUAAGAGCAGAAUAAAGGCCUGGAGAUGAAGGCAGGAUCACAAAAGCCUGCUCUGCUGGCAACAUGCACUAGGGCGACUCCUAGCAAAAUGAACUCCUUGGGAUGGAGGCAAACUUCCCUGCCCCUUCACUUCAUCCACCAGUGUGAUCUGGGUUUGUGAAGCCAGUCGCCCUGAUGGGCAGCCAUUAUUUAAUGAUUCCUGCAAGCCAGUAUUUCAUGUGUGUACAGAUGUGCGUGGAGGCCCAAGGAAGAUUCUUGGAAGCCACCAUUUUGUUUUGUUUUGAGGCAGGGUCUCUUUCUGGCCUGUAUCUCUCUGGGUUAAGACCAGCUGACCAGUGAGGCCCCAGGGACCCACUUUUCUCCCCCUCUUUGGCACUGGGAUUACAGGCAGGGCCCCACUCUGCCUGGGCUAAGUUGCUUUGUUUUGGAAAUGGAGCUGCUCAGGUGUUCUGUCUUCUCUGGUGAGAUGGUACCACUGAGGCAGGAGGUCAAGAGAGUGUGCAUGAAUUGUCUGGUCCUGAGGAUCAGAAUGUAAUACGGCACAGCACACAGACCUCUACCACAUCCCUGCGCUGUCGCCAUCACAGAGGAGAGAAAAGUGCGUCCGUAUCAGAAGGGUCAAGGGGUCUCAUUACUCACACAUGGGGGGAGAGACAGGCAUGAAGACCCUCGUGGGUAAUGAGGCCAGCCCUGUCUGCUGAAGAUAAAUUCCACUUUUCAUCAGUCUGUGGCAUAUGUGAUUUAUACCAGCCUUGUGUGUAUUUUACACUGAGUUCCGCAAACUCAAUUGUCUGCAGUUUCCAUGGUGCGGUAAGAUCGACAUAAACCAGGGGUAAAUUUCACCUGCUUGCAUCUUAAGCCCACCCUGCCCCCGUGUCUCCCUUGUUUCCUUUUGGGGUUCUCAGCAGCCCCUCUUUCACGACCUUGGGUAGCUUGAUGGGGAGAUGAUACUGAUGAUGAGAGAGCUGAGUCCCACCACUUGAAAUGGCAAGCAAGGGACAGCUACACGCAGGUAAAGGUAAGAGAAACCACAUAUGCCAUAGCUUACCUUUACCCAGUGUCUCCCAGAUCUUGCCUAUUCAUGCAUACAUUUCAAACCCUCCUGGCCUGUGGACCAUGGUCACAUGCAUUCCAGGGUGUGCCCCAAUGGUUUCAAUAGACAGACACCAGGUCAUACACACUCCCCGAGGCUGGCGUGCUGACUCAGGAUCAGCUGUGAGUCACCUGGUCCAAUUGCAAACAGCUUUGGGUUAUCCUUGGGAUAAAGUCCUUGAAGCAGAAAUGGCGAGUUAAACCACCCCUAUCCAUUCCUGCAUGCAUUCAUUUGAAGGUGUUGACGUGGUACCUAUGGGGUAUCACAGACAGCCAUCCUAUGGUGCCUGCAUUCCGGAUGGACCCCUGUAAGGUGCAGGCACCAUUCAGUGCCCAGCUAGGAAGGGCGAUGUUGGGGGGGGGGGGUGAUAAAAUAUGGAAGAGCGUGGAAAAUGUGAAUGUAUGGGGAAAGCUUCCUGGAUUCAUGGCUCUUUAGCAGAAGUGGUUUCUAGGCUCCGUGGUGUCGCAUGAUGCUGCGGUCUUACAGGAACCCUGUCAGAGCAGCCUUUGCUGUCUGGGUGAAUAAGGGCAGAGCUCAGAGGCGGCUCCCCAUGCUGACACACCCACCUGUCACUGAUCUGCUGCAACUCCUGGAUUUCCUCCUGGACCUGCUUGGGCUUCGUGAAGUGACCCAGGAAGUUGAAAUAGUCUUCCUUGUAGGGCCGGUGGACCUUCGGGGAAUA